rnacentral:rRNA from 1 species
AUUGAACGCUGGCGGCAGGCCUAACACAUGCAAGUCGAGCGGAGCGGCGGCCGCGUGAGUAAUGCCUAGGUAUCUGCCUGGUAGUGGGGGAUGACGUUCGGUAACGGGCGCUAAUACCGCUUACUAUCAGUUGCGCAUAGGUCGGAUUAGCUAGUGGGUGGGGUAAAGGCCUACCAAGGCGACGAUCCGUAACUGGUCUGAGAGGAUGAUCAGUCACACUGGAACUGAGACACGGUCCAGACGCCUACGGGAGGCAGCAGUGGGGAAUAUUGGACAAUGGGCGAAAGCCUGAUCCAGCCAUGCCGCGUGUGUGAAGAAGGUCUUCGGAUUGUAAAGCACUUUAAGUUGGGAGGCGUUACCAACAGAAUAAGCACCGGCUAACUUCGUGCCAGCAGCCGCGGUAAUUC